rnacentral:misc_RNA from 1 species
UCUCCGUAGGUGAACCUGCGGAGGGAUCAUUACUGAGUGAGUGCCUCCGGGCCCGACUUCCAACCCUUUUGUGAACCACCGCGUUGCUUCGGGGGCGACCCUGCCGUUCGCGGCGGGGGGCCCCCGGAGCCCAUCAAACCCUGCGUAACUAAGUCGUCGGAGUUAAAACAAAUCAAACAAAACUUUCAACAACGGAUCUCUUGGUUCGGGCAUCGAUGAAGAACGCAGC